UCUUCCGUAGUAUAGUGGUCAGUAUGUGAGCUUGUCAACCUCCGACUUCGCUCGAGACCCGGGUUCAAUUCCCGGCGGGAGAG
rnacentral:tRNA from 1 species